AACGAACGCUGGCGGCAUGCCUAACACAUGCAAGUCGAACGAGACCUUCGGGUCUAGUGGCGCACGGGUGCGUAACGCGUGGGAAUCUGCCCUUGGGUUCGGGAUAACAGUUGGAAACGACUGCUAAUACCGGAUGACGUCUUCGGACCAAAGAUUUAUCGCCCAGGGAUGAGCCCGCGUCGGAUUAGCUAGUUGGUAGGGUAAAAGCCUACCAAGGCGACGAUCCGUAGCUGGUCUGAGAGGAUGAUCAGCCACACUGGGACUGAGACACGGCCCAGACUCCUACGGGAGGAAGCAGUGGGGAAUAUUGGAAAAUGGGCGAAAGCCUGCUCCGGCAAUGCCGCGUGAGUGAUGAAGGCCUUAGGGUUGUAAAGCUCUUGUACCCGGGAUGAUAAUGACAGUACCGGGAGAAUAAGCCCCGGCUAACUCCGUGCCAGCCGCCGCGGUAA
rnacentral:rRNA from 1 species